GAAAUGCGAUAAGUAGUGUGAAUUGCAGAAUUUAGCGAAUCAUCGAAUCUUUGAACGCACAUUGCGCCCCUUGGUAUUCCAUGGGGCAUGCCUGUUCGAGCGUCAUUUCAACCCUCAAGCACUGCUUGGUGUUGGGCGUUUGUCCCGCCUACGCGCGUGGACUCGCCUCAAAGUCAUUGGCAGCUUUUCCCCUUCGGCUCGUAAGCGCAGCACAGUCGGCGCCUGGAGCUCUGGUGGGAUGGCGUCCAGCAAGCUAUAUUUUCAGGCUUGACCUCGGAUCAGGUAGGGAUACCCGCUGAACUUAAGC
rnacentral:misc_RNA from 1 species